rnacentral:sRNA from 3 species
CUUUAGUUGCAUCCCUCGCGACUAAUGACAACCCUUAACCGCCCCUGCGGUAAAGCCUCUCAUUAGCCGCGCGAAACUCUGCAAACAAAGAUCACACUAAGCAACAAUACAUGAGUUUGGUCCGGAUUGCUGCCGAUUGCUCGAAAAAAGGGGCCAUAAAGGCCCCCUUUU